GUGGGGAAUCUUGCGCAAUGGGCGAAAGCCUGACGCAGCAACGCCGCGUGCGGGAUGAAGGCCUUCGGGUUGUAAACCGCUUUCAGCAGGGACGAAAAUGACGGUACCUGCAGAAGAAGCUCCGGCUAACUACGUGCCAGCAGCCGCGGUAAUACGUAGGGAGCAAGCGUUGUCCGGAUUUAUUGGGCGUAAAGAGCUCGUAGGCGGUUUCGUAAGUCGAGUGUGAAAAAUCUGGGCUUAACCCAGGGGAGCACUCGAUACUGCGAUGACUUGAGUCUGGUAGAGGAGUGUGGAAUUCCUGGUGUAGCGGUGAAAUGCGCAGAUAUCAGGAGGAACACCAACGGCGAAGGCAGCACUCUGGGCCAGUACUGACGCUGAGGAGCGAAAGCGUGGGGAGCAAACAGGAUUAGAUACCCUUGUAGUCC
rnacentral:rRNA from 1 species